GACGAACGCUGGCGGCGUGCUUAACACAUGCAAGUCGAACGAAAAGAGGGAAAGAGCUUGCUCUUUCCGGAAUUGAGUGGCAAACGGGUGAGUAACACGUAAACAACCUGCCUUCAGGAUGGGGACAACAGACGGAAACGACUGCUAAUACCGAAUAAGUUCCAAGAGCCGCAUGGCCCAUGGAAGAAAAGGUGGCCUCUACCUGUAAGCUAUCGCCUGAAGAGGGGUUUGCGUCUGAUUAGCUGGUUGGAGGGGUAACGGCCCACCAAGGCGACGAUCAGUAGCCGGUCUGAGAGGAUGAACGGCCACACUGGAACUGAGGCACGGUCCAGACUCCUACGGGAGGCAGCAGUGGGGAAUCUUCCGCAAUGGGCGAAAGCCUGACGGAGCAACGCCGCGUGAGUGAUGACGGCCUUCGGGUUGUAAAACUCUGUGAUCCGGGACGAAAAGGCAGACUGCGAAAAACAGACAGCAUUGACGGUACCGGAAAAGCAAGCCACGGCUAACUACGUGCCAGCAGCCGCGGUAAUACGUAGGUGGCAAGCGUUGUCCGGAAUUAUUGGGCGUAAAGCGCGCGCAGGCGGCUUCCCAAGUCCCUCUUAAAAGUGCGGGGCUUAACCCCGUGAUGGGAAGGAAACUGGGAAGCUGGAGUAUCGGAGAGGAAAGUGGAAUUCCUAGUGUAGCGGUGAAAUGCGUAGAGAUUAGGAAGAACACCGGUGGCGAAGGCGACUUUCUGGACGAAAACUGACGCUGAGGCGCGAAAGCGUGGGGAGCAAACAGG
rnacentral:rRNA from 1 species